rnacentral:rRNA from 1 species
GACGAACGCUGGCGGCGUGCUUAACACAUGCAAGUUGAACGAGAAUUUUUCGAGUGUUUUCUUCGGAAUGAUCACGAAAACGGAAAGUAGCGAAGGGGUGAGUAACACUUGAAAAACCUGCCUUUCACAAAGGAAUAGCCUCGGGAAACCGGGAUUAAUACCUUAUGAAACCAAACACUCGCAUGAGAGAUUGGUUAAAGAUUUAUCGGUGUUAGAUGGUCCCGCAUCUGAUUAGCUAGUUGGUGGGAUAAAAGCCUACCAAGGCAACGAUCAGUAGCCGGAUUGAGAGGUUGAGCGGCCACACUGGAACUGAGACACGGUCCAGACUCCUACGGGAGGCAGCAGUGGGGAAUUUUGCACAAUGGAGGAAACUCUGAUGCAGCGACGCCGCGUGAGUGAUGAAGGUCUUCGGAUUGUAAAACUCUGUCCUGAGUGAAGAUAAUGACAGUAACUAAGAAGCAAGCCCUGGCUAAAUACGUG